rnacentral:tRNA from 1 species
GCCGGUGUGUCGGAAUGGCAGACGAUGCGGACUCAAAAUCCGUUGGUGGCGACACCGUGUGGGUUCAAGUCCCACCACCGGCA